CCCUUAGAUGUUCUGGGCUGCACGCGCGCUACACUGAAGCUAUCAACACGUUUUCCCUCCCUGAGAAGGGCGGGUAACCUUUAGAAUCAGCUUCGUGGUAGGGAUCGGGGCUUGCAAUUGUUCCCCGUGAACCAGGAAUUCCUAGUAGACGCGAGUCAUAAGCUCGCAUCGAUUAAGUCCCUGCCCUUUGUACACACCGCCCGUCGCUACUACCGAUUGAACGUUUUAGUGAGGCAUUUGGACCGACGCAUCUCAGUUUAACCGCUGGUUUGUGUUGGAAAGACUUCCAAACUUGAGCGUUUAGAGGAAGUAAAAGUCGUAACA
rnacentral:rRNA from 1 species